GCCUCGUUGGCGUAGUGGUAGCGCGUCUCACUUGUAUAAUCGCGUGAUCUUAUCUUACGCUUGUAAGAUAACAUGACGCGGUGACAUGAGAAGGUCACUCGUUCAAUCCGGGUACGAGGCA
rnacentral:tRNA from 1 species